AAGAGCUCAGAUUUGAAAUCGUGCUUUGCGGCACGAGUUGUAGAUUGCAGGUUGGAGUCUGUGUGGAAGGCGGUGUCCAAGUCCCUUGGAACAGGGCGCCCAGGAGGGUGAGAGCCCCGUGGGAUGCCGGCGGAAGCAGUGAGGCCCUUCUGACGAGUCGAGUUGUUUGGGAAUGCAGCUCCAAGCGGGUGGUAAAUUCCAUCUAAGGCUAAAUACUGGCGAGAGACCGAUAGCGAACAAGUACUGUGAAGGAAAGAUGAAAAGCACUUUGAAAAGAGAGUGAAACAGCACGUGAAAUUGUUGAAAGGGAAGGGUAUUGCGCCCGACAUGGGGAUUGCGCACCGCUGCCUCUCGUGGGCGGCGCUCUGGGCUUUCCCUGGGCCAGCAUCGGUUCUUGCUGCAGGAGAAGGGGUUCUGGAACGUGGCUCUUCGGAGUGUUAUAGCCAGGGCCAGAUGCUGCGUGCGGGGACCGAGGACUGCGGCCGUGUAGGUCACGGAUGUUGGCAGAACGGCGCAACACCGCCCGUCUUGAAACACGGACC
rnacentral:rRNA from 1 species